rnacentral:lncRNA from 1 species
UUUCCCCCACUUGGUCCACUAGAUGUAACAGCUGCGUGCAUUCACUACCAUCAAGUCAUCAGGAGCGUGUGUACCUCUAUGUAAAUUGUACACUAUUGUCUAAGAUGGAAAA